rnacentral:rRNA from 1 species
UACGUAGGGGGCAAGCGUUGUCCGGAUUUGUUGGGCGUAAAGAGCGUGUAGGCGGCUUUACAGGUCCGUUGUGAAAACUCGAGGCUCAACCUCGAGACGCCGGUGGAAACCGUAAAGCUAGAGUCCGGAAGAGGAGAGUGGAAUUCCUGGUGUAGCGGUGAAAUGCGCAGAUAUCAGGAGGAACACCCGUGGCGAAAGCAGCUCUCUGGGACGGUACUGACGCUGAGGUGCGAAAGCGUGGGGAGCGAACCGG